rnacentral:rRNA from 1 species
ACGGGUAGCUGGUCUGAGAGGAUGAUCAGCCACACUGGAACUGAGACACGGUCCAGACUCCUACGGGAGGCAGCAGUGGGGAAUCUUGCGCAAUGGGCGAAAUGCCUGACGCAGCGACGCCGCGUGAGCGAUGAAGGCCUUAGGGUUGUAAAGCUCUGUGGAGAGGGACGAAUAAGCACGGGCGAAUACCCCGUGUGAUGACGGUACCUUUUUAGCAAGCACCGGCUAACUCUGUGCCAGCAGCCGCGGUAAGACAGAGGGUGCAAACGUUGUUCGGAAUUACUGGGCGUAAAGCGCGUGUAGGCUGUUGCGAAAGUCGGGUGUGAAAUCCCUGGGCUCAACCCAGGAAGUGCACUCGAAACUACGCGACUAGAGUCUCGGAGAGGGAAGCGGAAUUCUGGGUGUAGAGGUGAAAUUCGUAGAUAUCCAGAGGAACACCAGUGGCGAAGGCGGCUUCCUGGACCAUCUCAGACGAUGGGGCGCGACAGCCUGAUGAUCAAACAGGCUUAGAUACCCUGGCAGUCAUA